rnacentral:rRNA from 1 species
UAAUCGGAAUUACUGGGCGUAAGGAGCACGUAGGUGGUUUAUUAAGUCAGAUGUGAAAUCCCCUGGGCUCAACCUAGGAACUGCAUUUGAAACUAAUCAGCUUGAGUCUCGUAGAGGGAGGUAGAAUUCCAGGUGUAGCGGUGAAAUGCGUAGAUAUCUGGAGGAAUACCAGAGGCGAAGGCGACCUCCUGGACGAAGACUGACACUAAGGUGCGAAAGCAUGGGUAGCAAACAGGAUUAGAUACCCUGGUAGUCCAUGCCGUAAACGAUGUCGACUUGGAGGCUGUGAGCUUGACUUAUGACUUCCGAAGCUAACGCGUUAAGUCGACCGCCUGGGGAGUACGGCCGCAAGGUUAAAACUCAAAUGAAUUGACGGGGGCCCGCACAAGCGGUGGAGCAUGUGGUUUAAUUCGAUGCAACGCGAAGAACCUUACCUGGUCUUGACAUCCAUAGAAUUUUUUAGAGAUAAAAAAGUGCCUUCGGGAACUAUGAGACAGGUGCUGCAUGGCUGUCGUCAGCUCGUGUUGUGAAAUGUUGGGUUAAGUCCCGCAACGAGCGCAACCCUUGUCCUUUGUUGCCAACGGUUAGGCCGGGAACUCAAAGGAGACUGCCGGUGAUAAACCGGAGGAAGGUGGGGAUGACGUCAAGUCAUCAUGGCCCUUAUGACCAGGGCUACACACGUGCUACAAUGGUAUAUACAAAGAGGAGCAACCUUGUAAAAGUUAGCAAAUCUUAUAAAAUAUAUCGUAGUCCGGAUUGGAGUCUGCAACUCGACUCCAUGAAGUCGGAAUCGCUAGUAAUCGUGGAUCAGAAUGUCACGGUGAAUACGUUCCCGGGCCUUGUACACACCGCCCGUCACACCAUGGGAGUGGGUUGCAAAAGAAGUAAGUUGCUUAACCCCUAAAAGGAGGGCGCUACCAC